UCCUACGGGAGGCAGCAGUAGGGAAUCUUCCGCAAUGGACGAAAGUCUGACGGAGCAACGCCGCGUGAGUGAUGAAGGUUUUCGGAUCGUAAAACUCUGUUGUUAGGGAAGAACAAGUUGGGUAGUAACUGACCCAACCUUGACGGUACCUAACCAGAAAGCCACGGCUAACUACGUGCCAGCAGCCGCGGUAAUACGUAGGUGGCAAGCGUUGUCCGGAAUUAUUGGGCGUAAAGCGCUCGCAGGCGGUCUUUUAAGUCUGAUGUGAAAGCCCACGGCUUAACCGUGGAGGGUCAUUGGAAACUGGAGGACUUGAGUACAGAAGAGGAGAGUGGAAUUCCACGUGUAGCGGUGAAAUGCGUAGAGAUGUGGAGGAACACCAGUGGCGAAGGCGACUCUCUGGUCUGUAACUGACGCUGAGGAGCGAAAGCGUGGGUAGCGAACAGGAUUAGAUACCCCGGUAGUCCACGCCGUAAACGAUGAGUGCUAGUUGUUUGGGGCUAUCCAGCCCUAAGUGACGCAGCAAACGCAUUAAGCACUCCGCCUGGGGAGUACGACCGCAAGGUUGAAACUCAAAGGAAUU
rnacentral:rRNA from 1 species